rnacentral:rRNA from 1 species
CCUACGGGUGGCUGCAGUGGGGAAUAUUGGACAAUGGGCGAAAGCCUGAUCCAGCAAUACCGCGUGUGUGAAGAAGGCCUGAGGGUUGUAAAGCACUUUCAAUGGGAAGGAAUACCUACCGGCUAAUACCCGGUAGACUGACAUUACCCAUACAAGAAGCACCGGCUAACUCCGUGCCAGCAGCCGCGGUAAUACGGAGGGUGCAAUCGUGAAUCGGAAUUACUGGGCGUAAAGCGGUUCUAGGAGGCUUGAAAGCCCUGGGCUUAACCUGGGAACUGCAUUUGAUACUGGCAGGCUAGAGUUUAGUAGAGGGGAGUGGAAUUUCAGGUGUAGCGGUGAAAUGCGUAGAGAUCUGAAGGAACACCAGUGGCGAAGGCGGCUCCCUGGACUAAAACUGACGCUGAGGUACGAAAGCGUGGGUAGCAAACAGGAUUAGAUACCCGUGUAGUC